GGAUCAUGGCUCAGGGGUAGAACGCUUGCCUAGUAUGCAUGAGGCACUGGGUUCAGUCCCUAGUACCA
rnacentral:tRNA from 1 species